GGAUGGAGACUGGGAGCCCUGCAUUCUACAUCCACUUCGAUAAUUAGCUAUUUUUGCAUAGCGUGCUGUCUCAGUUUCCUUUUCUUUACUUUAAUGUUAUUUAUUUUUAUUUAAGAAAAACUUAUACAGCACUAUGUUCAGGGUAUAGCUCUAAACACUUAUCGCGGAUUAACUUUCUGAAUCUCUUAUAUCAGUGUAAGGAAGUAGGUACUACUGCUGUCAUCCUCUACUUACAGGUGGAGAAACUGAGGCACAAAAAGUGAAGUAAGUCACCCGAGGCGACACAGCUACCAAGUGACAGAGCCAGGGUUUGAACAGAGGUCCUGAGUCCAGAUCUUAAACUAUGAGAUUUUCAGAUCUCUGUUUACUUCAUCUGUGAAAUGGAACUAAUGAUAUCAACCUUGCUCACUCACUCCAGUUGAAAGAGCCUUGCAUCUGCCCCGGGCACUCCAGAGUCUGCCAGGAGACGCCACAGAUCUGUCACUGUGGGAACACACAAGUUGAAUCUUCUUUCCAGAGAGGCAGUGUAUGCUUCAGAAAAGUCAUACUGUGGAGAAGUUAUGGACUGCUGGCUCAUGUAAACCCCAACAGAGGGACUUUCUGGAAAAGAUGCUUUGCAAGAAAUUAAAUUUUCUUCUCUUGUGUAAAAAAAGGCCAAUGUCCCUGGAAUCCGUGAGGCUGGGCCUCUAGAACAUUAGUGGAGCGUUUGGAUCCCCUCAGAAGGGCACCACCGUGGAGUCACUCAGGUUAUCUUCCCUCAGAAUAGUAGGGUUUGAGAUCAGUAGCUCCCGUUGUCCAGGGAAGGGAAAUGGAAUCAGACUCUGUGUUUUGAUGGUUUCUGAAGAAAAGGUUCCAUUUUCCCCGAAGGAACUGGGACUUAGAACGAGGAAAGCCAGGAUUAUAGUCUGACUGUACUCUGAACCUGUUGUGAUAAGGCCAAAUUCCAUCUUUCGGUCUCUGUCAAACAAGGGUUUGAAUUUCAA